CGAAUAACAUUUUUUCAAAGCUUUGGUGAAAGCAAUUGUUCUGAGUUAUGGGAUGAGACCAGGAUGACAUACUUUGCUAUUUCCCCUACUACCAACAGCCAAACAUUUCAAACAGGUAUUGCCAAAAACAAGAGAAUUUUGCUUUUUCUCAUUUGCCCACACCUACGUUUUUAAUAGAAGAAAGGCGGUGAUUUUGCGUUGCACACUCAGUACUUUCCCAGUGCCUUUCCAUUCCUAGAAGAGUUUGUAUCACAUGUUCUUGUGGAUUAUUUCUGCCAGCUUUUACGUUACUACCAAGCAGUUUGGACUAUCAUUUUUACUUUUAUCUGGGUGUUAUUUCUUGCCAUCUUUUGCAGAAGCAUUAAAAUCACUUUCUGUUGCCUCCUAUCUACCAUUUGUAAAGAAUUUAUAUGUGAAUUUCUGCCCUUUCUGGCUCAAGAUACAAAUAAAUUUGACUUCUGUCAAAUUUGUGCGCACAGUCUGUCACAUUUCCUGUUUUGCUGGUUGUAUGGGAACUGUAGAAUCACGGCCUGAACCUCUGAUUGACCACCUGAGGCGAGUGCUGAGUCAGCUGCAGGGGCACAGAUGAACGCAAUUUCACCUGAGUGUCCGGAAGUGGUGGUCCGGCCUGGCUCCACCCCUCCCAGACCUCAUUUAAGGGCUGACUCCCAAGGAGGAAGGAUCUCUAUCUGGAGAUCACCCUUCUUGGAGCCCUUCUGCAAGCCCAGGAUAUGGUGUACUGGCAUUCUGCUGUUUAAAAGGAAAAAAAUGAGAUGUGUUGCCAAUACAUCUACACAGCUCUGGAACAUCUCCAGGACUGUGACUCCAUCACCUCCCUGGGCAGCACUUUCCAGCAUCUGAACACUCUUUUGGAGAAGAAACUGUUCCUAAUCAACCUGAAUCUCCCUUGAGGCAACCUGAGGCUGUAACUGGAGGCCAACUGUGGAGUGUUUAAAGCGUUUAUGUGG
ensembl:lncRNA